UUCCUUGCUCAGUUUCCCUCUGUCUGAUAUUACAUUUUGUCUAAAGAUCUGAAACCAUUCAGUGUGACAACUAUGCAAUAAUAGAAGAUAUCAAGGAAGGGGGGCAAAUACCUUUUCACGGCACUGUAUGUCGAACAUAUACUCAGUGUCAUGCGGUUAAAAGAUAAGACACAGGAGUCUAUAUAACUGUAAAGCUUAGAGAUGGCCACCUACGUGAUGCAAGUAAACACAGCCACUAAUUAACUGGUUUCAGGUGGAAGGAUGGCAGAGGAAUAGGCAGAGGAGGAACAAACUACACCAGCAUCAGUGAAUGUGAAUGAUUUGCUGAAAGAGGAAGAUUAAAAAACCUGCCCAACAUAACGACGACAUACUUUUUCAUGCCACUAGCUAGCAAGAGAGACUGCUAGCUAGACUGUCUUUUACUGUCCAGAGACAAACCAGGUGGAAUUUUAACUUACCACGAAUGGCCAUGACAUUAUGCGACCAUCAGUAAUUUAAAAUAAGCAAUAAGGUAUACAAGAAUAAAAAGGUCUUCUUUUCAUGGUUAUUUUAAUUUUAUGUAGAAAAAGACUGGACAAAGGUAAUACAUGUUCAGGGUGAUUAGAAAAUUUCCAACAAUAAGAUACAUUAGACUGCUCAAUUAUGUAGCUAUGGACUAAUACAGGUAGGAGAGUGUAAUUAUUAUCACUUGUUCAACACAAUUGCAAAUAAUUUAUUAUUUCUUAUGGUGACAUUAUAUGUAUUAUGCCCAAUAGAGAAACCAUGUUUACACGUGGUGUUUCCAUAAUUUGUGCCAAUACUGUAUACGUAUGUAGGCGCUCACACAAAAAACACAGAAUACAGAAAGUGCCUUAACAAGGCAAGAAAACCAGACAGCCAACAUAAAAAGCACACAAAAAAAUCAGUAGACAUGCCUUUGAAAGAGGACAUGUGGCGACAUCUGCUGGAGAUAUAAUGAUACUACAUUGGCAUGCAGUCCGCAUGAGCAGAGUGUGUACACCAUGUUGAAGUAAUCCAAAACGUAACCAUUUAAUCUUAAGAAAAUACUACACAAAUCAAGAUAUCGCUAUCUUAUUUUUACUUUCUGUUUGUGAAAAUUGUGAAGAUAAGAAAUAAUGCCUGUAUAAAAAUGUCAUGACUCAAAAGCCAGCAACGUAAAAACUGCAAGAGAAAGUACUUCCACAUAUCAACGUUCAUGGUCUGAUGGGUUACUCACUUAAAUACGUUAGUUCCGGGUCGUGGGAGUGACUUUGAACCUGGGGUUCAAAUUCUGAGAAUAGAAUUUACUAAUUACUGUGGUUGGAAGAGCGUCACCAUGUUUCUGUGUAAACGGCUAACUAAUGCAAAAACUUUCACGGAUACACCCUGAGAACAUUAUGUUAUAUCAAGUCAUGCAUUGACUGCAAACACAAGAUGAGAAUGAUGAAGAUGGAGGAAUUAAAAUGGAGCUCCACAUAAUGUGUACAAUAUCUGACAGAUCCACCCACCACAUAUAAAUAGCAAAUUACACAGCAUAUGCCUAUUAAUUCAACUGCAAUAUGGACCACUAAGUAACACAACCUUUACUUUUCACUGAAAAAACCCAAACAAUCCCUGACAAUAGCAAAGUCAGCAAAGGUAGCACAAGAGAGUUAGGGUUAGUAAACUGUAACUGGCGGUAUGACUCUGUCAAAACAACAUGAAAUCUUAUAGGUGCUUAUAUCAGGAAGGCACACAAAUAAUCAUUUGAAUUACAACGAGUGGAGGAGCUAGCUGGCUAAAUGAACCAAGUAGAUGUUGGUUGGAAAAUCACAUAACACAAAUGCAAUAUAAGACAAGUAACAUCAAUUUAUUUGCACAGCAACACCAUACUGUACAUUGAAGUGCAGUUUUCCUCUAACCUGUCUUUAUGACAUUGUCUAUAAAACAAAAAAUGCAGUACAAAAAAAUAAAGUGGAAUUGAAUUCAACAAAAAUGGUGACAGUGACAGUUUGCUAACAUCUUGAUUGACAAGUUCUUUAUGGUAUUAACUAAAACCAUGUUCGAUAGCUUGAUUUUCACUGGAAUGUGACCAAAAUGUUAUUGAGAAAGACAAGCAUCCCUGAUAACUGAUAAUUCAAUGUUUCUCAGUCCUGGUCUUGGAAGCCUGUGUGUCCACUGGUGUGUGUUCUAUAGUAGUAAGCUAUGUAUUGUAAUGAGCUGCUAAUUGUUCUUAGACACUAAUUGUUCUUAAUUGGCCUUUUUUAAUGACAAAAGACCCUCAUGCCUCAUUAUGCUAGAAAUAGCAAUGUAUGCUCUUAAAAAAUAAAUGUCCCAUAUUCACAUUCUAGGAAUUUCACAGAUGCUUUCAUUUACUGUGCUGUAUGCACUACAUAGCAAAUAAUUUCAGUUGAAAGAGGUUAUAGCUAAUUGAUUCACUUACAAACUGACAGGUGAACUCAGUUGGGUCCCAUUUGCUCAAUGUGUGGAAACCUGAAACUACUGUAUUUGUGUAAUAUGAAUGGAGUUUACUGACAGAAAAUGGCAACAAGCCAAACAUGCAUUGUUUUACACACAAUUAUGGUGGAACACACUUUCAAGAACUUAUUUGAUUAAGAGAUCGGCCAUGACAAAUCUACACAGUGGGUCCCCAGGACCAGGGUUGAGAAACACUGAUAACUCAAACCAAAAACAUUUAUUCAGCAUGGAGCACUAUUAGCAAGGAAAGCUAUGAGUGAUGUUUUGAGAUUUUAUAAUUCUGUGUGCCAAUUAGCAAAGAAAAAUACUACAAAAUGCAUUGUGGGUACUGUCAAUCUGGUAAAUCUCAGUGGCAGAACUGUAUAUGUUUUGUUACAAAUUGAUGCUGGCAAAUGCCUUUGAUUUAAUAUAUACAUAUAUUUUAAACAUAAGUAAUAUAGUAAUACACCUUAUUGAUUACUGGUCUUACUAAAUAAAGAUCAUUAAGUGCACAAAUACUACCAAUCCCCAUACACCAGACGUAAUGUUUACUUUACAAUGUUAAAAUUUCAGCCAUGAAAUAUGGCUGAUCGGUUUUCAGAAGAACCUAGUAUUGAUAUUAAUGCAAACCAUUACCCAAAAUGCACUACCAAUCAC